UACGAAGGGGCUAGCGUUGCUCGGAAUCACUGGGCGUAAAGGGUGCGUAGGCGGGUCUUUUAAGUCAGAGGUGAAAUCCUGGGAGCUCAACUCCAGAACUGCCUUUGAUACUGAGGAUCUUGAGUUCGGGAGAGGUGAGUGGAACUGCGAGUGUAGAGGUGAAAUUCGUAGAUAUUCGCAAGAACACCAGUGGCGAAGGCGGCUCACUGGCCGAUACUGACGCUGAGGCACGAAAGCGUGGGGAGCAAACAGG
rnacentral:rRNA from 1 species